rnacentral:rRNA from 1 species
CCUACGGGUGGCAGCAGUAGGGAAUAUUGCUCAAUGGGGGAAACCCUGAAGCAGCAACGCCGCGUGGAGGAUGAAGGUACAGAGUAUCGUAAACCUCUUUUGUCAGGGAACAAAGGCGGGGACGCGUCCCCGGAUGAGUGUACCUGAAGAAAAAGCAUCGGCUAACUCCGUGCCAGCAGCCGCGGUAAUACGGAGGAUGCGAGCUUUAUCCGGAUUUAUUGGGUUUAAAGGGUGCGUAGGCGGUCCGUUAAGUCAGCGGUAAAAUUGCGGGGCUCAACCCCGUCGAGCCGUUGAAACUGGCAGACUUGAGUUGGCGAGAAGUACGCGGAAUGCGCGGUGUAGCGGUGAUAUGCAUAGAUAUCGCGCAGAACUCCGAUUGCGAAGGCAGCGUACCGGCGCCAGACUGACGCGGAGGCACGAAAGCGUGGGGAUCGAACAGGAUUAGAUACCCCAGUAGUC